rnacentral:lncRNA from 1 species
UCAUAAUUUGAUGUCAGAAUUUCUCACCAUUUCCAAGAGAUAAUCAUUCUUUGGUCUUUGAAGUAUCAUUAAAUAUUCCUGUAAAUAUAGACAGUUUCUGGAAAAUAGUUAGAUUUUGCUUCACAUUUUUGCCUUUAUAAAUCUCUAGGGGAUUAAAGGGAAAAUUUGAUGACUUCUACAUUCAAGCACAAGACUUUAAGAACAUUGCUCAUCUCUAUUUCCUCAUCAAUUAAAAGUCUGUCCACCCGCGUGGUCCCAUGUGAUGCUGAAUGUUCCACUGUAAAUAAACAUCAGACUAUGUUUGCCUAUGCACCCAGCUGGCCUAACCCUGGGCUACUGUGAAUAGUGUGUUGAAAGAGUUAACCCUGUGUAGCCCAAGCCUGUGCUCUCACGAAGCUGAAGAAUGCAGUCUUGAACCAAAAGGAUGAGGUUAGGAGAGUUUUACUGGGCUUAAGAAAAAAGCAUGUGGUAGGGGCCCACCUCAGGUGCAUUCUGAAUGGAGGUGCAGGCUGUGUUUUGUCCUGCUCUAUACGAGUAAACAGUGCAGGAAGAGGCUCGUUUCAAA